rnacentral:rRNA from 1 species
UACGUAGGGUGCGAGCGUUAUCCGGAUUCAUUGGGCGUAAAGAGCUUGUAGGCGGCGUCAUAAGUUGGACGUGAAAACUCCGGGCUUAACUUGGAGAGGCCGUUCAAUACUGUGAGGCUAGAGGGUGUCAGAGGGAAGUAGAACUCCUGGUGUAGCAGUGAAAUGCGUAGAUAUCAGGAGGAAUACCCGUGGCGAAGGCGGCUUCCUGGGGCACCACUGACGCUGAGAAGCGAAAGCUAGGGGAGCAAACGGG